AGUGGCUGAUACAGCCCAAGGCUCUGGGCUGGUGUCCCAAGGUCACAGAUCUUGAGGUUACUGUACAAAAGCUCUUAUACAUAAAGCUUGCUGGACUGCGCUGUGUUGAUGUGCACUGCAAUUAAUCACACUGCGACUUCAGGAGUGAUAACGUGUUCCUGGUGUAACUUUUUAUUGCAGGAGAAAAUAGGUCGGUCUGGUCGGGGUGCAAUGAGUCAACCAUUAAAGGCAGAGCUGUUCCCAGCUCCCAGCUCAGCGUUCCACAUUAUCGACGAGAUUAAGGACCAGGAUGUCAUGGAGAGGUGACAAAGGUCCUGAUGUCGUGGGCAGAGCUGGGAGUGGGCUGCUCAGUCUGGGUGCCCCUCACAGCACCAGAGGGCCACGCCAGCACCAGCACUGACUGCUCCCUGUGUUUAGAACUUAGAGGAAGGAUUUGAAGUGUGCAAGAGUUUGGCACAUGGAAUAGAGCCCAGCUCUGCUAUGGGCUAAACAAUCUCAGAAGAAAAAUCCUGCCCUGAGGAAACUGGAACACUCUAGGUUGUGUUUCUGGGACCUUCACCAAGUGCCUCUUCUCACCCAUUGCACUGGAUGAAGCUCAGAAGUCAUCUCCUCCAUCGCUCUCAUCAUGGGGGAUCAACCACUGCCAUCCAGUUGGGUUCCUGGGACCUCAGUGAUGGAGAGGUCUUUUGGGUUGGUGU